rnacentral:lncRNA from 1 species
UUCAUGCCUUUCGCCUUUUUCAGGCGUAGCAGUGCCGGUGGUGAGGCUUUUGAGGUCUGUUUUGGUUCAUAAAAGAUGAUGGAAGGGAUGUAAAGUUGAUAGGAAGAGGUUAUGAUUGAUGGACGGCGUGGGAAGAUAUAUUGAUGACCACCGGAAAUUGCCAUUUUCCGGUGGUCUGUAGGCGGAAACGUUGGCAGAGGAGAGAG